GAAAGGUCUUCGGACCGAGUAAAGUGGCGCACGGGUGAGUAACACGUGAGUAACCUACCCUUUGGUCUGGGAUAACAAGCCGAAAGGCUUGCUAAUACCGGAUAAGACCACGGUGUCCUCGGACGCAGUGGGAAAAGUUGGGGACCGAAGACGGCCUGACGCAGAAGGAUGGGCUCGCGGCCUAUCAGCUUGUUGGUGAGGUAAUGGCUCACCAAGGCUUAGACGGGUAGCUGGUCUGAGAGGAUGAUCAGUCACACUGGAACUGAGACACGGUCCAGACUCCUACGGGAGGCAGCAGUGGGAAUUUUGCGCAAUGGACGAAAGCCUGACGCAGCGACGCCGCGUGUGCGAUGAAGGCCCUUGGGUCGUAAAGCACUGUCAAGCGGGAAGAACAGUUUUCGGUUAAUACCCGGAGACUCUGACGGUACCGCUGGAGGAAGCACCGGCUAACUCUGUGCCAGCAGCCGCGGUAAUACAGAGGGUGCAAACGUUGUUCGGAAUUACUGGGCGUAAAGAGCUUGUAGGCGGCAUGUUAAGUCGACUGUGAAAGCCCAUGGCUCAACCAUGGAAGUGCAGUCGAUACUGGCACGCUAGAGUCCCGGAGAGGGUGGUGGAAUUCCCAGUGUAGAGGUGAAAUUCGUAGAUAUUGGGAGGAACACCAGUGGCGGAGGCGACCACCUGGACGGGUACUGACGCUGAGAAGCGAAAGCGUGGGGAGCAAACAGGAUUAGAUACCCUGGUAGUCCACGCCCGUAAACGAUGAGCACUAGGUGUUGCGGGUAUUGACCCCUGCAGUGCCGACGCUAACGCAUUAAGUGCUCCGCCUGGGGAUUACGGCCCGCAGGCUAAAACUCAGAGGAAUUGACGGGGGCCCGCACCAGCGUGGAGUA
rnacentral:rRNA from 1 species